UGACAAUACCCAUGUAAAGCACCUUUCCAUAGCUGAUUCCUGGUUCCCCGAGGCCGUGCUCCAAUCCGGAUCAUAGAGACACCGGAUUUAACCCAGUGAGCUUUGCAACAGCCCCUUGCUUCUCUUUGAACUGGGAGAGCUCCUCCAGUAACUGCCCUUUCUGAGGGGGAAGCCCACCCAUGUCAGAGGAAGGAGUUCCAUAGCUUAUAAAUGGCUCUUGAUCAUCUUUCCUAUUCACAUGUUUUCAAUCUGUCUUUGCCUUUCAGACUCAGUGACUUCUGAGAGAAAUCUUUCACCCAUGUUUACUGUGAUCAAGCCAGCUCCAGACUUUGUUCCUUUAGUGAACUGAAUCCAUCAGGCUCCUUAAGUCUCAUUCAAGGGACGUGGAAGAUGCAGUUCAUAGGAGAAAUAGUCAUUAUGGCCAUGCACAGGACUUCCUCUAUCAGACAGCUGGCAGGACCUGAAGGGACACAUGCACCAAGCUCGUGGUGUUUAUUAUGCAGCUAUACAGAAAGACUGAAUGGGACUAAUGACUUUUCUCUGCAAAAAGAUACAGAACAUGCACUGUGGAAGCUGGAUGACACCAAGUUAUGAUCUCACGAGGUGAGUUUCUGCCUUCGGGGAAAGCAUGUGCCUGCAUAGGCAUGGAGGAGCCUACUUUCCUUCUGUCAGGCUCUCAAGAGCCAUAAGAGCAGACUCACAGCUGGUAUUCUAUUACAGUAACACCAGGGGUCUUUUCUAGCACUUCUGAAGAAAAUUCCACUUUGGCUUAGCAUGCCAUGAUCUAUUCUACUGCAUGGAGUUACAACUGGAAUAAAUAAUUAUGGAAUCUUAAAUCUGUACGUGGACAGGGCACCAUCCAAGAAUAAAAGUUUGGUUUUCAGCUCUUUACUGUAUUCCUUGUGGCCUGAAAGUAAAUGGUCUGGACUGUUCGGUUCGUUUGCUCUGGUAUUCUUCUUUCAGCAAGUCUUAGUUUCUCUUAGUGAGCCUUGGCUUGUCUUGCCUCUGACUGUUGGAGGUGCUGUGAGGAAGCCUCAGCAUUGUCUGCCAGGAUAAGACGAUGACAACGUAUGUUGUUUGCUGGAGCAGUCUUCCCCGUUUGCCCAGCACAGCACCUCUUCCCGUGAUAGUCUCCUGGCCUAAGCCAGAAAGGCAGAAUCAGGGAGGCUUGUUUUGUUCUUGGAGCUGUGCUACUUCUUUGCUACCAUUUCUUUGCUACCAUUUCUUUGCUGUGGCUGGGCUUUCUGUGACGAACAUCCCAUCUGGGAGCCGAUGGCUGAGGUGUUUGCCCCAGCAAUCUUGUUACAGAAUUUGAGGUAUUGAUACAUAACUGCUACUCAAGGCUAACAGGCUGAAAACAGUUACUUUUCAGCACUAUCUUGCAAAUAAAAAGAAAUAUCCGGGCACUAAUUCACUCUAUUUGUCCCCUCAAGAUGGAAACUUUCCAAGC